rnacentral:misc_RNA from 1 species
GGAUCUUCUGGCAUCAUUUAUGUCAAGACCAGACAUUGAAUUCUUGGUGCUCUCUUCUUGAUUGGGAUAUGAAUCACUACCAGGCCAUAUUGCUAGUUGCUCAUUCUUCCUUGUUAACUUCUUUCUUGACGAAAAAACAUCCUGAAUCUUCUUCUUGUAAGACUUGCUUUUUCCUCCAUUUUGAGGAGUAAAAUGAAGUUCAUCUCUAUUCACCAUAAUACAGGACUCCUCAAGCUUUGCCUUGUCAACUUGUUGAAUGAUUUGCAUUUCUGAAUUAGACACAAAAUCCUCCUCACACGCAAUUUCACUUCUCUGUACUCUCCCAUUUUCACAGGAUUCCUCUAGAGAAACCAACUCAUCAUUCAUACAAACAUCUGCAGCAGUUGCUUCUUGUAAUGCGCGGCAUUGAGAGUAAGGUCUCAUAUCCAUUUCUUUACUCAUGCCAGAUUCAAUUAAAUUAACCAUAUCAAAUGAUGAUCCAUCUGUUUUAAUAUCAGGCAUUUGUUCACUUGCAUUUUCAAUCUUAUUUUUACUUUCUUCUAUGGAAUCAUGCCCUGUCACUUCAACAGACCCUAGAUUUGUAAUUUUAUCUUUCUGAUCAGAAGAUGCCUUGUGAUUUUCAUUUGAAAAUUUACGGACAGAAGAUCCUCCAGUCAAAUCUUUAUCCAAAGGAGUGAUGCCUCCUGAUUUCUCACU